AUUGAUCUUUUUUACAACUAAUCCAAAAUACCUUUUUUUUUUUUUUUUUGGCAAGUUUUGCAGAGGAGUUGUUUGUCCAGUGCAGGGGAGCUGGGAGAUGAAGGGAUUAUAUUGAAAGUUGAGAAGAUUUGUGGAUUAGGAAAUCAACACAUCAGCACAAUUCUAUUAGUUAUUGGAUUGGAUGUGGAUUUCCAUGUUGAUUUUUUUUUGGUAUAUAGAGGUUCCUGUAUUGCCAUGUGGAUUUGAAAAAAUCUUUCUAGAAUUGAAUAGAGGCCACAAAUGAAAUGGCAAAAAAAUUUCUCUUCUUGA
rnacentral:misc_RNA from 1 species